UUCCUUUUCUGUGGUCACAUGAAGCUCGGCUGAGUCUGAAGGGGGCGCUCUGCAGAGAAGGCAAGCUGCUGCAGGAGGCCGCAGUGACCACGCCCUACUCUCCUGUCAAGGUCCUCACCUCUCAGCUAGAAAGCUGCGCUAGCUUUCCGGCUGAUCUCCCAGCUUCCUUUCUUGCCUCUCCUAUAAUCCAUUUUCCACGCUGCAGACAUCGCUCCUUGCAAAAUGGAAAUCCGAAGCCAAUUCUAGAGACAGAAAGCCAAGACCAAAUUGCUGACAGCUUAGUGUCUGAUGAAGGCCAGUUCACAGCUGACACUGUCCAGAUGUCUUCACUUUGCAGAAGGACUAUUGGCCUUGCUUUCCCAAGCCCAUUUCUAAGGCCCUAAUGCAUCCUGAGAGCAGCGUCUCGGCCUCAUCGCUCCUAACUAAAGCCCCCGCCUCUCAUGCUACUACAGUUAGGACCAGCGUCAACACGAGUUUGGAGGACACAGUCAAAGCACAGCAAACACUGAUGAAAAGAUUGGAUAAGCUGGAUUGUCAGCUGGAUACUUAGAUGGGUGGGUUGUGUGAGCCUUCAUUGUGUCAGGAGUGAGAACGGCAUUGAAGAGCAACGUCCGUGUUCUUCCAGGAUAGGGUUUCCCAACACAUGCUGGAGAGGUUGUGGAGAAAGGGGAACCCUCCUCCAUUGCUGGUGGGAAUGCAAACUUGUACAACCACUUUGGAAAUCGAUCUGGCGCUUUCUCAGACAAUUAGGAAUAGCGCUUCCUCAAGACCCAGCUGUGCCACUCCUAGGCAUAUGUCUAAAAGAGGCUCAAGUACACAACAAGGACAUUUGCUCAACCAUGUUUGUAGCAGCUUUGUUCAUAAUAGCCAGAACCUGGAAACAACCCAGAUGUCCCUCAGUUGAGGAAUGGAUACAGAAAUAGUGGUACUUUUACACAAUGGAACACUACUCAGCAAUUAAAAACGAGGAAAUCAUGAAAUUUGCAGGCAAAUGGUGGGACCUAGAAAUGAUCAUCCUGAGUGAGGUAUCCCAAAAGCAGAAAGACACACAUGGUAUAUACUCACUUAUAUAGACCUAUAAGAUAGGAUAAAUAUACUGAAAUCUAUCUACCUAAACAAGAUAAACAAGAAAGAGGAGGGGCUGGAGGGCUCCGUGGUUAAGAGCACUGUUUGCUCUUCCAAAGGACCUAGGUUCAAUUCCCAGCACCCACAUGGCAGCUCACAACUGUCUGUAACUCCAAUUCGAGGGAUCUGACACCUUCACACUAAUGCACAUAAAAUAAAAUUAAAUAAAUUAUUAAAAAAAAAAAAGAGGACCCAGGGUACAAUGAUCAAUCCUCACUUAGAAAGACAAAUGGGAUGGACAUUGGAUGUAGGAGCAAACAAGUAACAGGACAGAAGCCUACCACAGAGGGCCUCUGAAAGACUCUACCUAGCAGUGUAUCAAAAUAGAUAUUAAGACUCAUAACUAAACCUCUGGCAGAAUGCAGGGAACCAAUAAAAAAAGAGGGGGGGGGAGUUAAUACUACCUGGAGAGGACAGGAGUUCCACAAGGACCAAAUAUAUCUGGGCACAGGGGUUUUUUACGAGACUGUUUCUCCAAACAAGGACCAUGUAUGGAUGCAACCUAGAGCCCCUGCUCAGAUGUAGCCCUUGGUAGCUCAGUAUCCAAGUGGGUACCCUAAUAAGGGGAACAGGGAUUGUUUCUGACAUGAACUCAAUGUCGGGCUCUUUGACCUUCCCCUGCCCCCCAGGGAGAAGCAGCCUUGCUAGACCACAGAGGAGGACUUUGCAGCCAGUCCUGAAGACACCUGAUAAACCAGUAUCAGAUGUAAGGGGAGCAGGUUCUCCCUUAUUAGUGGACUUGGAAAGGGGCA